GUGCGGAACGGAUAAACGCUGAAGGCAUCUAAGCGUGAAACCGCCCUUAAGAUAAGAUAUCCCUUCAUUUUGAGUAAGACCCCUCAAAGACUAUGAGGUUGAUAGGCCUAAGGUGUAAGCACGGUGACGUGUUCAGCCUGCAGGUACUAAUCGGUCGAGGGCUUGACCUA
rnacentral:rRNA from 1 species